UGAGGAACAUGACCUUCGGCGGGGGAUAGCCGGCCCAACGGCCGGGUAAUACCGCGUACGACCACAUGGGGACAUCCCCGAGUGGUGAAAGCAGCAAUGCGCCGAUGGAGUGCCUCGCGGCCUAUCAGCUAGUUGGUGAGGUAACGGCUCACCAAGGCGACGACGGGUAGCUGGUCUGAGAGGAUGGCCAGCCACAUUGGGACUGAGACACGGCCCAGACCUCCCGUAGGGACGG
rnacentral:rRNA from 1 species